rnacentral:misc_RNA from 1 species
AGAGAGACACACACACACACACAGUAAAUGUAACAAACUUCUGCAAUAAAAUUACAGGCACUCAACUCUGGUUAACAAGUAACAAACUAACAACACAGAGAGAGACACAUAAAUAUGAUUUGUUCUAGAUAUCCAAAAUGAAUUCCACAAGUAGUACACUAUGUAGCACGGAAACGGGAAAACGCGGAAAAGGGAAAACGCGGAAACGGCAUUUUCAAAAAUAUAAGAAACGGAAACGUGGGGGAAACGCCUAAAUAUAAAAAAUCUAAGGGUAUAUUCAUAAAUAUAAAAUAUAUUUACAUAAAUAUUAUUUAAGAUUUAAUA